GGACUGGGAAGACAUGAGGGCUGCAUUGGGGGUGGGAGAAGGAAGGCUGGCCAGUUAGGGAUGAUGUCAUGUGGCCACAGCUAAAAAAAAAACCCACUCCGCUGUUGAGAGCUGAGGUGUAAAUGCCAGGGCAGUUGCUGGACGUUUAUGCCCCAGCUCUUAAGAGUGGAGUGGGAGCGAAUCUCUCCAGGUUGUAUCGAGUGGCUGCUUUCCUGGAAACCAGGCUCCUGGUUGCUAGGGCCGAUAAGACAGGGAACAGGCUACCGUCAUCGUUCAUGGGAAAACAUUUUGAUAUUGAAGAAGAGCUGAGACAUGUUAACAGUUGAGUAGAAACAGAGCACCGUGGCUCAAGGGCUGCAGCUCCCUACCCAGCGGGCACUCAGAUUACCCACGUGGUGUGCUGCAGGCCGUGAAUCAGAUGGUCCAUGCUCCUGAGACUGAGGGAUGACGAUUCCGAAAGGACACACCACCGAAUGUGGCUCCUCCAAGUGUGCCCAAGGACCCAGCCUCCACUCAGGACGGCUGUGGGCCCCUGCAGGCCUCGCACUGCAGCCAGCCUCCCCAGCACACACAGUGACUGUGGACACUGACAGGCAAUGCCACAAGGCUACAGAUGAGGAAGGGACCUUGCAGGCAGAUGGGGGACGCUCUGCGGCAGGACAGACUCUGCACUGGCAGGUCUCUGCGAGCUCUCAGGAAGAGGGUGAGGGCGCUAAGUUCACAUGGCCGGACAAGCAGGUCCUGAGGCUGGGGCGGAGGGCCACAGUGCUGCCCUUGGCCCAUGGUGCUGGGAGCUGGGAGGCCCAGUUGUGUUUUCUGUGCCAGGCUGGGCAUCGCUGCCCCAACCAGGGAAGCAGAAAUCAAUGAGUCCCAGCUACUUCUCUGUGAUGCUCCACUCACCACAGAUACUCCGGAGAAAUUGGAUUGUGUUCCAGAGGGGAGCGGGAGUAAUGGAGGCAGGAGAGAGAAGAGAAAGGCAAAAGAGAAAAGGACAAAGAUCUGAAGCCAGCAACCCUGUGGGGUAAGGCAGAAAGUGGGAGCACAGAAGGCAAGACAGAGGGGGCUCCCCACCCAGCAGGAGAUGAACGGCAUGCUGAGAGUAGAAUGGAAAACACAGCGACAGGGAAUCUAAGUUUAAAAGGAAUUUUUUGAAAGAAAACAGAGGCCGGGUGUGGUGGCUCAUGCCUGUAAUCCCAGUACCUUGGGAGGCUGAGGUAGAUGGAUCACUUGAGCUCAGGAGU
rnacentral:lncRNA from 13 species